AGCCCGGCGGUGUAGAGGAAUUUCGGCUACCGGGAUACACCCUGUGCUCGCUUUGCAUUCGAAACUAGUGAACACAGCUGGUGGUAUCUCAGUGGCCCUAAUCCGAUCGCAACCCUCCGCCGG
rnacentral:pre_miRNA from 11 species